CGCGGAGUGGAGCAGUUGGCAGCUCGUCGGGCUCAUAACCCGAAGGUCGGAGGUUCGAGUCCUUCCUCCGCAACCA
rnacentral:tRNA from 1 species